UACGGAGGGUGCGAGCGUUGUUCGGAAUUACUGGGCGUAAAGCGCGUGUAGGCGGCCUUCUAAGUCUGGUGUGAAAGCCCGGGGCUCAACCCCGGAAGUGCAUUGGAUACUGGGAGGCUGGAGUACCGGAGAGGAGGGUGGAAUUCCUGGUGUAGCGGUGGAAUGCGCAGAUAUCAGGAGGAACACCAAUAGCGAAGGCAGCUCGCUGGGACGGUAUUGACGCUAAGGCGCGAAAGCGUGGGGAGCAAACAGG
rnacentral:rRNA from 1 species